UGCUCCUGAUGUGAGAAGUAGCUGGG
rnacentral:piRNA from 1 species